ensembl:lncRNA
ACGCCAUCAGGACACCUCGUCAACCCCUCAGGAGCAAAUCCAGAUCUACUCAUGACACACACACACACACACACACACACACACACACACACAGAUGUACUCACAGACACACUAACAUUUGACACACACUAAUAUUUAGAUGUACACAAAGACACACACUAAUAUUUAGAUGUACACAAAGACACACUAACAAUUAGAUGUACACACAGACACACUAACAACAUUAAUAUGUAAAUAACUUUUCUUCUUUUCUCUCUUCUCAGGAACUGCUUCAGAUGUUUUCCCAAUGAUUGUGUUAUUAUAAUUGUUAAAUAUGUCGUCUGUUUAUUAUUUUAACAAUGAAAAUAAAUUUUAAUAAAAAUAAAACCAAAUGAA